UACGUAGGGAGCAAGCGUUGUCCGGAAUCAUUGGGCGUAAAGAGCGUGUAGGCGGCCAGACAGGUCAGCUGUGAAAACUCGAGGCUCAACCUCGAGACGUCGGUUGAAACCGUCUGGCUAGAGUCCGGAAGAGGAGAGUGGAAUUCCCGGUGUAGCGGUGAAAUGCGCAGAUAUCGGGAAGAACACCCGUGGCGAAGGCGGCUCUCUGGGACGGUACUGACGCUGAGACGCGAAAGCGUGGGGAGCGAACAGG
rnacentral:rRNA from 1 species